UACGUAGGGUGCAAGCGUUGUCCGGAAUGAUUGGGCGUAAAGCGUCCGCAGGUGGCUGUGUAAGUCUGCUGUCAAAGAGCGAAGCUCAACUUCGUAAAGGCAGUGGAAACUACACGGCUAGAGUGCGUUCGGGGCAGAGGGAAUUCCUGGUGUAGCGGUGAAAUGCGUAGAGAUCAGGAAGAACACCGGUGGCGAAGGCGCUCUGCUAGGCCGCAACUGACACUGAGGGACGAAAGCUAGGGGAGCGAAUGGG
rnacentral:rRNA from 1 species